UUGUAAAGUUGGACAAAAUGCUCUUUACUUUCAUUUGCACCAGAUUUAAUAUAUUAAAUAGGAGAUAAUAGAUUUCUUUUAAAUUGAGUCUUCCUAUCUAACCUCAAGUCUUUAGGAGGAUUCUGGGAUUACAGUCAUGUAUUAUAACAUCAGGUUUCUAUGGUUCUCAGGCUCAAACUAAUAUUCCUGCAGGGUGUACAACUACUGUAUCAGUUGAACUACUAUAUAUCUAGCCAAAGCUUUACCAAACAAUUUUCAAUGUAAUAAGUAAGAUUUUGUGCUGGAGAGAUUGUUCAGAAGUCAAGAGCACUGGCUAUUCUACCAAUGAUCCUGAGUUAAAUUCCCAGCAAACACAUGGUUCAUAACCAUCUACA